GGGUUGUGAGGUUAAGCGACUAAGCGUACACGGUGGAUGCCCUGGCAGUCAGAGGCGAUGAAGGACGUGCUAAUCUGCGAUAAGCGUCGGUAAGGUGAUAUGAACCGUUAUAACCGGCGAUUUCCGAAUGGGGAAACCCAGUGUGUUUCGACACACUAUCAUUAACUGAAUCCAUAGGUUAAUGAGGCGAACCGGGGGAACUGAAACAUCUAAGUACCCCGAGGAAAAGAAAUCAACCGAGAUUCCCCCAGUAGCGGCGAGCGAACGGGGAGCAGCCCAGAGCCUGAAUCAGUGUGUGUGUUAGUGGAAGCGUCUGGAAAGGCGCGCGAUACAGGGUGACAGCCCCGUACACAAAAAUGCACAUACUGUGAGCUCGAUGAGUAGGGCGGGACACGUGGUAUCCUGUCUGAAUAUGGGGGGACCAUCCUCCAAGGCUAAAUACUCCUGACUGACCGAUAGUGAACCAGUACCGUGAGGGAAAGGCGAAAAGAACCCCGGCGAGGGGAGUGAAAAAGAACCUGAAACCGUGUACGUACAAGCAGUGGGAGCCUCUUUAUGGGGUGACUGCGUACCUUUUGUAUAAUGGGUCAGCGACUUAUAUUCUGUAGCAAGGUUAACCGAAUAGGGGAGCCGAAGGGAAACCGAGUCUUAACUGGGCGUUAAGUUGCAGGGUAUAGACCCGAAACCCGGUGAUCUAGCCAUGGGCAGGUUGAAGGUUGGGUAACACUAACUGGAGGACCGAACCGACUAAUGUUGAAAAAUUAGCGGAUGACUUGUGGCUGGGGGUGAAAGGCCAAUCAAACCGGGAGAUAGCUGGUUCUCCCCGAAAGCUAUUUAGGUAGCGCCUCGUGAAUUCAUCUCCGGGGGUAGAGCACUGUUUCGGCAAGGGGGUCAUCCCGACUUACCAACCCGAUGCAAACUGCGAAUACCGGAGAAUGUUAUCACGGGAGACACACGGCGGGUGCUAACGUCCGUCGUGAAGAGGGAAACAACCCAGACCGCCAGCUAAGGUCCCAAAGUCAUGGUUAAGUGGGAAACGAUGUGGGAAGGCCCAGACAGCCAGGAUGUUGGCUUAGAAGCAGCCAUCAUUUAAAGAAAGCGUAAUAGCUCACUGGUCGAGUCGGCCUGCGCGGAAGAUGUAACGGGGCUAAACCAUGCACCGAAGCUGCGGCAGCGACACUAUGUGUUGUUGGGUAGGGGAGCGUUCUGUAAGCCUGUGAAGGUGUACUGUGAGGUAUGCUGGAGGUAUCAGAAGUGCGAAUGCUGACAUAAGUAACGAUAAAGCGGGUGAAAAGCCCGCUCGCCGGAAGACCAAGGGUUCCUGUCCAACGUUAAUCGGGGCAGGGUGAGUCGACCCCUAAGGCGAGGCCGAAAGGCGUAGUCGAUGGGAAACAGGUUAAUAUUCCUGUACUUGGUGUUACUGCGAAGGGGGGACGGAGAAGGCUAUGUUGGCCGGGCGACGGUUGUCCCGGUUUAAGCGUGUAGGCUGGUUUUCCAGGCAAAUCCGGAAAAUCAAGGCUGAGGCGUGAUGACGAGGCACUACGGUGCUGAAGCAACAAAUGCCCUGCUUCCAGGAAAAGCCUCUAAGCAUCAGGUAACAUCAAAUCGUACCCCAAACCGACACAGGUGGUCAGGUAGAGAAUACCAAGGCGCUUGAGAGAACUCGGGUGAAGGAACUAGGCAAAAUGGUGCCGUAACUUCGGGAGAAGGCACGCUGAUAUGUAGGUGAAGCGACUUGCUCGUGGAGCUGAAAUCAGUCGAAGAUACCAGCUGGCUGCAACUGUUUAUUAAAAACACAGCACUGUGCAAACACGAAAGUGGACGUAUACGGUGUGACGCCUGCCCGGUGCCGGAAGGUUAAUUGAUGGGGUCAGCGCAAGCGAAGCUCUUGAUCGAAGCCCCGGUAAACGGCGGCCGUAACUAUAACGGUCCUAAGGUAGCGAAAUUCCUUGUCGGGUAAGUUCCGACCUGCACGAAUGGCGUAAUGAUGGCCAGGCUGUCUCCACCCGAGACUCAGUGAAAUUGAACUCGCUGUGAAGAUGCAGUGUACCCGCGGCAAGACGGAAAGACCCCGUGAACCUUUACUAUAGCUUGACACUGAACAUUGAGCCUUGAUGUGUAGGAUAGGUGGGAGGCUUUGAAGUGUGGACGCCAGUCUGCAUGGAGCCGACCUUGAAAUACCACCCUUUAAUGUUUGAUGUUCUAACGUGGACCCGUAAUCCGGGUUGCGGACAGUGUCUGGUGGGUAGUUUGACUGGGGCGGUCUCCUCCUAAAGAGUAACGGAGGAGCACGAAGGUUGGCUAAUCCUGGUCGGACAUCAGGAGGUUAGUGCAAUGGCAUAAGCCAGCUUGACUGCGAGCGUGACGGCGCGAGCAGGUGCGAAAGCAGGUCAUAGUGAUCCGGUGGUUCUGAAUGGAAGGGCCAUCGCUCAACGGAUAAAAGGUACUCCGGGGAUAACAGGCUGAUACCGCCCAAGAGUUCAUAUCGACGGCGGUGUUUGGCACCUCGAUGUCGGCUCAUCACAUCCUGGGGCUGAAGUAGGUCCCAAGGGUAUGGCUGUUCGCCAUUUAAAGUGGUACGCGAGCUGGGUUUAGAACGUCGUGAGACAGUUCGGUCCCUAUCUGCCGUGGGCGCUGGAGAACUGAGGGGGGCUGCUCCUAGUACGAGAGGACCGGAGUGGACGCAUCACUGGUGUUCGGGUUGUCAUGCCAAUGGCACUGCCCGGUAGCUAAAUGCGGAAGAGAUAAGUGCUGAAAGCAUCUAAGCACGAAACUUGCCCCGAGAUGAGUUCUCCCUGACCCUUUAAGGGUCCUGAAGGAACGUUGAAGACGACGACGUUGAUAGGCCGGGUGUGUAAGCGCAGCGAUGCGUUGAGCUAACCGGUACUAAUGAACCGUGAGGCUUAACCUUACAACGCCGAAGCUGUU
rnacentral:rRNA from 1 species